rnacentral:rRNA from 1 species
GAUGAACGCUGGCGGCGUGCCUAAUACAUGCAAGUCGAGCGAACGGACGAGAAGCUUGCUUCUCUGAUGUUAGCGGCGGACGGGUGAGUAACACGUGGAUAACCUACCUAUAAGACUGGGAUAACUUCGGGAAACCGGAGCUAAUAUCGGAUAAUAUUUUGAACCGCAUGGUUCAAAAGUGAAAGACGGUCUUGCUGUCACUUAUAGAUGGAUCCGCGCUGCAUUAGCUAGUUGGUAAGGUAACGGCUUACCAAGGCAACGAUGCAUAGCCGACCUGAGAGGGUGAUCAGCCACACUGGAACUGAGACACGGUCCAGACUCCUACGGGAGGCAGCAGUAGGGAAUCUUCCGCAAUGGGCGAAAGCCUGACGGAGCAACGCCGCGUGAGUGAUGAAGGUCUUCGGAUCGUAAAACUCUGUUAGUAGGGAAGAACAUAUGUGUAAGAAACUGUGCGCAUCUUGACGGUACCUAAACAGAAAGCCCCGGCUAACUACGUG